CGUUGAAACACAUGAAAUAAAUAUUAUGUGAUUGCCUAAUAUCUUUUUCUCAUAACUGAAAAGUGGGUUCAGAACAAACUCUCUGAUUUCUAUUUUCAUGGGUCACUACUGCAAAGGUUUAACAGCUGGGAGAUACUCUGGCAUUUUACAACACUGGAAUGCUGGGAUUUUAUUUUCCUAAGUUCAUAACUGCAAUGGAUUGUUUACAUGUUAGUACACAAAAUCAUACUCUUCAACUAGAAAGCAAUAGUGAAAUUUUCUAUAGAAUAGAUUAAAAAGCUAAAAUGGAGAAGGGAUAUAAUUAUUCUAAGAGCUCAUAAUGGUAAAUUAAGUAUAUAACAUAUGAAUAUUCUUACUUUUACCACUUAUUGUAAAAGAUGUACAGUAAUUUCAAUUCUAUUUUUAAGAUCUGAAAAUAUAAUACAACUGAUACAUUUAUUAGUUGCUAAGUCACACACCAGUUCACACAAAACUCAUGCACUCAAGAGGCCAGUGUGUUAGUGGUGAAAGAACAAAGGCAAAUACCGGGUUUUAAUAAUAAAUUAGUAAACAUGCAAGCAGUAAGGAGUGCAGAGUUCCAGCCAACAGAGUCUGAUGAGAACAUACAAAAAUGGUUUGAUUAGUCCCUACAAUCAGCAUCUCUGUGUAGGAGAAGAUACUAUGCCACAGAAGUAAAUCUUGAUAACAUAUAGGGUAUACUUGUCAUGCCAAUAAGGUGGCUAUACUUUGGAAUUUUACUGAAAGCUAAAUAAAACACAAGAACCCUUCCUAUUUGGAUAACGUGUCACCUUCAUCAUGGAGCUAUUCCAUAUGAAAGAUAUAUGUAUGCUAUGGUGUAUUAUGCUGUUCUUGUUUGAUUCUGCAUGUGCAGUGGUAAUAUUUGCGACUAAGUUGAGCACACUUGGAAGAGCCCUCAUUUGCUAUCUUGUCUUUUAAGUGAAAAAAAAAGACAAAUGAGUUUUUCCACUCAUCGUAUCAAUGGGAAACAGAUGUGAUCAUUCAGCAGUAACUACCCUUUCACAAAUAUUAACACUACAUACCCAUGACUUCUCAAUUCCUGGUACAAUGUGGUUAGGUCCCACCUACACUGGUUAUAGGUCACAUUAGACACAAGUAUUUAUUUCAGCAGGACAUACCUCAUCUGUAUGAGUGACUGACAGCCUGGGAGUUGUAGAGUUGGGGGUGGGGGGCAUGGAGGGAGGGGAGACCCUGCCUGCAGUCCAUGCAACAGCAAAAAGAUGUCUUUAUGCUCAAUUAUUUUAAAUUUUGGUUCUCAUCCACGUUAUCCUUUGCUCUAGGUCCUCUGUAGUUUUCAGAUAGGUUUCCGUUUUAUGGACACAGAAUUCAAGCAAGGUUUGAAAAUAUUUUUCCCACAAACCCUGAGAUCCAAGUGAACAUUCUUGCUUGGUUUUAAGAACUGGGAAUGACUGAAUUCACUUUAAAUCUGUAACUCCUAAUGUUUCCUCUGUUUUGGGGAAACAUCCAGGAUCACUUUUUAGUGUGAACACUUAAGCAUAUUAUGGCUGUUUGACUUCUUUUGUGUUAAUGCUUUCCACUGUGGGGCAGAUGGGUGGAACUAAGGACAUUCGUAAUUCAAUCCCCUAAAGUACUAUUAAAGCAAUGUACUACUGCACACUUUUCUAACUUGGCAAUUAAUGAUUUUUUUAACUUUCAGAAAACAUUUCAAAUAGGACUAUGAUAUUUAGGAAAUAAAUUCAGCAUGCAUAGAAUGCAGACAAAUGUUCAUAUUUAGAUAUUAAAUACAUAUUUCUAAAAGCAAAAGGUUAUCAAACUGAGUUCAGAUUUUUAGCCUCAUCACUACUGAGAUAUCCAGUUCAGGAAAGCUAGCCAGGUACACAAACAACUCAAUCCUUGCUUUAGGGGGGUUAUGCAAAAUGAGCUUUAUUUUUAACUUCUUUUUAAUUUGCUGCAGUGCUUAUCUGUCUAUAGCUUAAGUUGUUAGGGUAGAGCUUCACAGUCAUGACAGCCAUUCACUUGGCCAUGGGUGCAGAGGACAAGCUUUGCACACAUACAAGGCCAUUCCAGUGAGGUGUGCUCAGAGUCUGGUCUUCUCCUCGAAUAUCUUUCCAUGGCCAAAGCCAAUAAUGAAUGAAAAUGAAAAUGAGAUAAGAGUCUUAAGAACCCCAAAGAAAUUGUGUGUAUGUUAACUUCUCACACUAGUUAACUGACACUUCGGACUGUGAGAGGAUGAGAAGCCAAGCAAGACAGUUUUAGGAGGGGCGAGGGGUCCUGGAGGUUGGGAGGUGUGUGACAGCCUGAAGGGAUUAUCUGGGGGGUGCCAGAGCAGGAGUCAGAAUAAGAGAACAAGGCAGAGUCGGUCAGUUUAGGGAAAAUAAAAAGGCUCAAAAUCUCUCAUAAAUGGCUAAGAGACAUUUGUUCAAAACUCUCACCAGGCUCUUUUCUGACCCAGGCUCCCUGCCUGUCAGUCCCAAUCCGGCGUUCACUGAGAGGCAGGCACUUACAAAGGAGUCUGGACAAAUAGUAGCCACUCUCAGGACUGCAUUUUUUAAAACCGUAAUAGCCAUAAAUGUACUGUUAAGAACUGAAGGCGUGUCUGUGUGUCAAUGGCUUGUGGUGUAUCCUGGGGCUCCAUCAGACCACCCGGGCUUGCCUCUUGCAGCUAGGCUCACAAGGCCAAUCUCGAUUCCAUUCUGCCCCCCAGAACAGGCUAAAACCAGUCCAGUCACACACAAGGGACAAAGACCCACCCUUAUUCAUUGGUUAUCUUCAGACGUGAAUUUUAGAGUAGGCUAGCCCUGCAGGAGUCCUAAAGUAGCCCGGGAUAGGAGUUCAGCCCCCUUUAUGCACCCUGCCGCUUCUAAGUCACUACUGUGCUAUGGAAGGGGAACAGAGUCUGGGCUUGUCUUACUAGCUGUGCUACUUUGAGUCUUUCUUUGUGCCUCAGUUCCUCCACCAUUGCAAAGGGACUAAGAAUGCCUACGGCUCAUGAUGUUGUGAGAAAUAAAGGUACACCAUAGGCGCUGAAUACAUGACAGUUAUUAUUAGUUUAUUUUCACUUAUUAUGUUUGUAUUAUCCAUAGGAUCAUGACAGUGGACUCAGAAACCACUGAUGACAUAAAUAAUCAACUAGAUAAGACCAACAAGUAAAGAUGCCUUCUAGGUGCUUGUAAAGGACCAUCACCAAGAGAACUGCCCCAGGUCCCAUGGGGAGGGGAUAAUGCUCCUGCCUGGCCCUCAGCCACCCCUUCUCAGGGACCUGAAUAUCCACUGAUAACAACGAGCUGUCAGGGUCCUAGCAGAACUGGGUAAGGGAGCACACCUGAGGCGCUCUGACAGCUCAGAAUCUUCUGACAUUUGCUUUGCUCUCUGUCGUGAUGUGGAGACUGUAUUUUAAACGCUGGACUGUAUUUUGGCCCGGUUUACUUAAGUCACAAGGUCCCACUUGCAUUUUAGAAAGAAUGCCACAAACCCCACCCCAUCAGGGUGACUGAUUAAGUGCCAUUGCUCUCAGGGGUGGUUUCGGCAGGAGAGGAAAUCCUGAGUGACCUGGUGGCAGAUGAGGCUGAUCUGUGCUUAAACCUGGGGCUGGCAAAGCAGAAGCCAAGGUUGUGGCUGCACUUCGGGCCUCCUAUGUGAGGCUAGGCAUGGAUGAGGAGUAGACAAAUUUUCUCUGUUGCAUUACAAUCAUUAUGUUAAAAGCUCUGGGGUAUCUCUACUAUUUACAACUCCCACAGAAAUUCUGUGUUGAUUUUCAUGUCUUAUCAAUAUAACCCUUAUUAAUCCAAAAAUGACAGUUGUUAUAAACCGCCACUGAAUUAUAUCUAGCUUUUAAACAUAAAUACAGGUUUUUAACAAUUAAUUCUGAACGUGACUACUCAUUGUGGGAAUGGAUAUUCAGUAUUAGAAGAGGAGAUAAGGGAACCCUCUAAAACUGUCCUGCAGCUCUGCACGUGCAACUAAGGGUGCUAAAGCAUUUCCCCAUCCAAAUUGUGUUGAGUCAUGCAGCUUCUGGGCAGACCUGGGUGCUGAUUUUAAGAAAUGCAACUCUUCUCUGGGAGACACAUACACUACUCAGCUCACCCAGGGGAGGUGAAUCAACUCUUCCGGAGUACCAUUUCACAAAUUAUUGCUACAAGAAUGCUAAGUCCACUGAGGUAUAAAAGCCUUAGUCCAUAUGGGACCAAAGUCUGUUUUGGUUGCAUGGCCAAUACAAAUUACAUCUGCCCACAAGCCUGAGGAAAGUAGAAAGAAACAGGAUUGCAGAUGAGUCAAGAUUUCAAAUAUUCAAAAUCAUCUUACCUGUCUUCCUGACGUUGGCCAUCCUGAGAGCUACAGGAAGCAGAUGGCAUAAAGAGAAAUCCAACAAAAAGGGGAGGCCUGAAGCUGGGCAGUGGUCUUGGUACCUGACCCAAGCUACCCAGAUAAAGUCUGAUAAUAUGGCUGGUGUCUCAAAUAAUCUGAAAACAAAAACACAAAGAUCAAGAGAGAGCAAAAGGAAACACAAGAACCUGUGCACUUUCUCCCAAAGAUCUGGAUCUAACCGAGGCAAAAACUGUUGGUAACAAAGUAGCAGAGAAAAAGGACAGACAGCGAUGACGAUGACGCAGCUAACGCUAACACUGAAGAGCUCCCUGCUCUAUGUAGAUAGGCUAUUCCUCAGAGCAAGAAAAACAAGAGCACACAACAAAGUGAGGGGGAUGCCAACAUAAAUGGAACAGUAAAGAGUUUCCUCUUUUUUUUUAUCAUGGGAAGCACCACAGUCUUGAUACCUAAAAUGACUCUUCAGCAGAAGCCUACUUGGAGUAUGUUAGAAAAAGCUGUGCCUCAUAGCCCCUUUGUUUUUCCCUAUAGCAACUACAGAAAAUUAUACAGAUAUAAACGAACCACAAUUUUUUCAUGUAUUAUACAUUUUUUCUAUCGUGAUAGUAAUUAUAUCUUCAUUUGAGAAGUUAGAAAAUGUAAGCAUAAAAAAAAAAUGAAAGAUAAAAAUCACUCGCAUUUCCACCACCCAUGACAAUUUACUUUUUAUAGUUUGAUGGAUAUUUUCCCUACCUUUUUCUACAGAAUUUGGUAUUUUAAACAUAGCUUUAAAUAAAUUAUAAGUAAUAUUUCAUAUUCUGCUUCUUCCCUUUACUUUCAUCAUAUGAAUUUCCUCAUGUCAUAAGAAAUUUUUUCUAAGCAUCAUCUGUAAUAGCUAUAAAACACUGCACUGAGCCAGCAAACCAUGUAACCAAUGUACUAAAAUAGUCACUUAUACUUACCUCCAAUUUAUACUGUUACAACCAAUGUAGUAAGCGCAUCUUCGUAUGUAUAUUAUUUUUGAAUUCAGGAUUCUUUUAAGAUUCCUUCUUAUUGUGUAAUCUUAUAACCAAAGAUGUUGUUUUAAAAUACUUUCCCUCCAGGAGCCGGUGAGGUAAUCAUUCAUUGUAUCUUUAUCAUCAAGUGUUAGCUUAGAAAAACAAUGCUAACUAGGUAAUAAGAAAGCAAAAUGCUUUUAUAUGAAAGGUCUCUUAGGAUGAGCAUCUUCAAAGUAAAACCUUUUUGAUCGUUAAUGUAGGUAUGCCACUACUGAAUCCCUCUUCUCAGGAGGAAAGAAUAUGCAGGCAGUCCUCACUUUGCCGGGCUCCAAAAUGUAUGAAUUUCAGUUAUCAUAUUUUGUUAAAAGAUAUCAGUAACCCAACAACAGAGUUCCAGUUUCAGUUACCACUAUAAAGUAACCAUAAAUGCAUGAAGCCCAAACUUGGCUACUAGCUCUUCAGUGCACCCAGCACUGGGUAACUGACAGAUGACCAUCAUGGUCAACGACCCGUCUUGCCACUGCUUUCAAAGUAUGUCAGUGGUCACUGUCCAUCUAUCUGUUCAUUUCGUUCAUGCAAAGACAAUAAAGUCUGCGGUUGUGUUGUCUCCCUUUCUCUAGGUGACAGCACAUGACAUUUCACAAAAUUGUACAAUCAAAAGAGGGAAUUGGUCAGCACAGAUGAAAAUGCAGCAAAGAAAUGAAAAGUGAUGACGGAGGAAGUUCAAAUCAAAUGUCAACAAAGUUCCUGGCAAAAAUCACUGACUGCUGCUUGGCAAAAAAACACAUUCACAACUCCACGUCUCUUGGAGAUGUCUCAUGACAUUGAAAGCACAAAGACUAAAAUAUCAAAAGCUGAUCUGAACUUAGAAAGGAAUAUAACAACCCAACAAAACAAAAAAGAUGCUCACUAUGGGCCCUAAGGUUUAUGAUAAAGAGAAGGCAUGCACAGUUCAAACGACUCCUCAUAAGUAUUUCACAAAGAAACAAAAUCUUUAGUUCUCAAUGUUUGUUUUAAUUUAGUGUGCUAAAUAAAUAUUAGGGUUUUUUUAUUUCCUUUUUCAUAUAAAACAAAUCGUAAGAGUUUUUCAUAGUUUGGUAACAUUUUUUAAAGAUCACAGAACAACUGUCAUUUUUUCCACUGGUUGGUAAGAUGACUACACGUUUUCAGCCUGCAUGGUAAUUUCUGCGGUCCUGCCCUACUGUGCAAAUCGAGGACUGCCUGUAUAUUCACCAACCUUGUGAAAUCUGUGAGCCUCUCUGAAGUUUAUCAACUUCCCUAUAUUCUCUGUUUACAACUAGAUGAUAUUAAAUCCAAGAGCAGGUAGUCAUGGCUGAGGUGAUACCGGCUGUCUUAGAUAAACAGGAGUCAAGACAGAGAAACAGACCCUUUCUCAGAACCCAGUGCUCUGUGGGACCCCUCUGCCUUGGCUGACUCCUGGUUCAGCCAGCUGAGGAGAGAGAGUCGUUCUCUUUCCUCCUUCAUGAGACAAACAGCAGUGACUACAACAGGGUAUGGGGGGGACUUGAUAACAUGGGCGAAUGUUGUAAUCACAGUGUUGCUGAUGUGAA